CCAGUUCGUCGCAGGAUCUUUUGCCAGCUGAGUGGACUGGUGCAACGUGAAAUGAAGUGUUUUGCUCAAGAACACAAUGCGUUGCCCGAUCCAGGAAUCGAAACCACAAUCUUACGAUCAUUAGUCCAACAGCCUAACCACGAAGCCACUCACCUCCGCUUAAU